CUUGAUAAAUUGAGCAAAUAUCCAUACCGGAGAUCUGCAUGGACCUUGGAGAAACGGACCUGAUUUAUUGUGAACAUUUCGGACCUUGAAACCAUCGCGAUCUGCGCGGGAGCGGAUGAAGUGGACAAGAUCCUCUCUGAGAGUUGAACAAGAUCCUCUCUGAGAGUUGAACAUUAGAAGUGUGCUGGCUAGGUUUUUUUUAUGGGAUCGUGAGACCUGGAUCUCUUCCUGACGAGGAAGAUGGCGAGCCUUUCCCUUUGAACCGAACCGAACCACAGCCAUUCUGAGUUGGCCCAGAAGGGCAGGUUGCUCUUCUCUCACGAACAAUUGCAACAGUGCGGUAGGACGAAAUCGCACCAAUCACAAACUUUUGACCUGUUGGAUUUGACUUGACUGAACACUGACUAUUAA